ACGAUUUAAUGCGAUACAAAUACAUACUAUUAGGCCUUUUGCUGUUUGCACAUAACACGCGUAUCGGGUAAGACGCGUUGAGUAAACAAAUUCUUCACUCAUCAGUAUGAGGCAGUUUGCUAGUUUUUCAGGUGUCGAGCGAUGCUCGCAUAUCGGGCAAUAUCUGUUUGAUGCCAGGGGCGCUUACAACAAGACCGAGUGCCGGUCCCGGUUUAUAGGACAUCAUACCUAAUGAGAGUUCUCCCACGUGUCGGUGUCAGUCUGUUCGCCCGCUUGUUUGGAAGUUUGUAUUUAGAGGUUAUAUUUACCUUUUGUUCGUAAUAGUGACGAGAUGGUAAUAUUAAUAUUGAUACCGUUUGAUUAAUAACUUGGUGGAAGGGAAACCGGAAACCUGUUCUAUAGGAAAAAACGCUAGCAACAUAUAAAUCGGUCGGCAACCGGCAACGGAACCGGCGCCCGGCGCAUCGGUGAAAGAUUGGUACCCGAUCGCUACCCGAUACCUGUGCAAACUAACUUACUGGCUAUGGAGGGGUAUCUUAGGGAAGUACUGGUCCUUGUUGGUGGUGUUGUCAUAUAGGCGUGGAGUAUUUAGUCACUACCGACUAUCAGCGAUUUAAAUCGCCAGAAACAGAUGAAGUCAACUGCCAGGAUAUAAGGAAGCACCGAUCAACAAAAAAAAGGACUCAAUGCAUAAACUAUUUCAGAACAAUGGCAUGGUAGCGAAGAUUAUCAACAGACGCUAGUAAAAAUCUAAACCAACUUAGGACCUUCGGAUUGCAGAUAGGGAAUGCAAUACCGGGAUCGCGGGAUCCCGAAAUACCGGGAUCCCGCAGCAUUUUUGCGGGAUUAAUCCCGCACAUAA